rnacentral:rRNA from 1 species
CCUUACCUGGCCUUGACAUACUAAGAACUUUCCAGAGAUGGAUUGGUGCCUUCGGGAACUUAGAUACAGGUGCUGCAUGGCUGUCGUCAGCUCGUGUCGUGAGAUGUUGGGUUAAGUCCCGCAACGAGCGCAACCCUUUUCCUUAUUUGCCAGCGGGUUAAGCCGGGAACUUUAAGGAUACUGCCAGUGACAAACUGGAGGAAGGCGGGGACGACGUCAAGUCAUCAUGGCCCCUACGGCCAGGGCUACACACGUGCUACAAUGGUCGGUACAAAGGGUUGCUACCUCGCGAGAGGAUGCUAAUCUCAAAAAGCCGAUCGUAGUCCGGAUCGCAGUCUGCAACUCGACUGCGUGAAGUCGGAAUCGCUAGUAAUCGCGGAUCAGAAUGCCGCGGUGAAUACGUUCCCGGGCCUUGUACACACCGCCCGUCACACCAUGGGAGUUUGUUGCACCAGAAGUAGGUAGUCUAACCGCAAGGAGGACGCUUACCACGGUGUGGCCGAUGACUGGGGUGAAGUCGUAACAAGGUAAGCGUAGAUGA